CCUACGGGUGGCAGCAGUGAGGAAUAUUGGUCAAUGGACGCAAGUCUGAACCAGCCAUGCCGCGUGCAGGAAGACGGCUCUAUGAGUUGUAAACUGCUUUUGUACGAGGGUAAACGCAGAUACGCGUAUCUGUCUGAACGUAUCUUACGAAUAAGGAUCGGCUAACUCCGUGCCAGCAGACGCGGUAAUACGGAGGAUACAAGCGUUAUCCGGAUUUAUUGGGUUUAAAGGGUGCGUAGGCGGUCGGAUAAGUUAGAGGUGAAAUCCAGAGGCUCAACUUCGGAAUUGCCUCUGAUACUGUUAGGCUAGAGAGUAGUUGCGGUAGGCAGAAUGUAUGGUGUAGCGGUGAAAUGCUUAGAGAUCAUACAGAACACCGAUUGCGAAGGCAGCUUACCAAGCUACGUCUGACGUUGAGGCACGAAAGCGUGGGGAGCAAACAGGAUUAGAUACCCCAGUAGUC
rnacentral:rRNA from 1 species